rnacentral:misc_RNA from 1 species
GGAGCGGCCUUUGUUCUAUGGCAUUGGCGUCGCCUGCCUCUCACCCUGGCAGGAAGGGCGGGCAACCCAGGGAAUCCAACCCCGUACUUCUGGCUUCCCAGACGCGUAGUGGUUAACGCAUACGCGUUGACCGUUUACCGCUACACCACGGGCACCCCAAGGUCACAUGGCAUGUCCAGCCCCUUACAUUUAAGAAGGGGACCAAAAACGGGUGUUGGCAGCUGUAGGCCUGCCAUUAUUACCCCACUAGCAUCUAAAAUCUUGGAGAAAUUACUUAAGUCCGGUUAAAUAUGGACAUUAUGCGCGAUGUUUUCAGUUUUAACUCAUUUUAAUCUUCCAAGUUUUGCUUGGCUAUCUUAUUGAACUGCUGGCUCCCAGCAUACAAGAUUGAUAUAUAAUCCACAGAAUUUCUGAACUGAUUUGGCUGCAGUUCUAUAAAAAGCAAGGAAUAUGACUCCAACAUUAACCACUAAUGUGACUGAUGGAAGGUGGUAAUCAUGCAUCCUGCCUUCUGUGGCUGUGGUGCCAGGACACUGCGCUGGGCACAUGCAGUGAACUCAAGACAUCAGCUUGUGGCAGCACUGGGUAAUGCUUCUGUAGAUGCCCUGGAGGCAGAUGUCAGCUCACUGCCUGCUGAUGAGCAAGUGCCUGUUAUGCUUCACCCACCAGCAACUGAGGUGGACCUUACGGCAGCCCAGUUCCUGGCCAUUGUGCAGCGGUCUGGCACACAGAAAAUCCUCAAGCUGGACCUGAAGACUGACCAGAUCAUUAAGCAAGUGGUGGACAUCAUCCUGCAUCACCACCUGACAGUACAUGAGACAUGACUCCACUGGUUCUGAACGCCGACGUGGUGGGCAGCGCAACCGAGGUGCCCGCUGUGGACGCCCACACGCUGCUUACUCAGCUGGAGCGCCUCCAAGCUACUCGGCUGCCACCUCUCGUCUCGCUCGGCUGGUGCCCACCUAGCGAAGGCACGCGAAGCCUAACUUUAAGUCAGAUCUCAGAGAUGGCGACACUGGCGCGUGGCCGCCCUGCCACACUGGCAGUUCGCGCGGACGUGGCGUUAGCUUCGGAGGAGGCGUUGGUGGCACUGAUGGGUGACCUGCCCGGCUGCGGGGUCACGCUAUGGGCGCACGAUGGGGACUCGGUGUGCCCAGAAGGUGCACGGCGACUGUUGGAGCGUUUGAGGCCAGCGCCCGUCUGGCUGGAU